rnacentral:rRNA from 1 species
CCUACGGGGUGCAGCAGUGGGGAAUAUUGGACAAUGGGCGAAAGCCUGAUCCAGCCAUGCCGCGUGUGUGAAGAAGGCCUUCGGGUUGUAAAGCACUUUCAGUGGGGAAGAAAGCCUUGGGGCUAAUACCCUCGAGGAAGGACAUCACCCACAGAAGAAGCACCGGCUAACUCCGUGCCAGCAGCCGCGGUAAUACGGAGGGUGCGAGCGUUAAUCGGAAUUACUGGGCGUAAAGCGCACGUAGGCGGUCUGAUAAGCCGGUUGUGAAAGCCCCGGGCUCAACCUGGGAACGGCAUCCGGAACUGGCAGGCUAGAGUGCAGGAGAGGAAGGUAGAAUUCCCGGUGUAGCGGUGAAAUGCGUAGAGAUCGGGAGGAAUACCAGUGGCGAAGGCGGCCUUCUGGACUAACACUGACGCUGAGGUGCGAAAGCGUGGGUAGCAAACAGGAUUAGAUACCCGGGUAGUC